GGAUGAUGAGAGGUUUGGUUGUUAUCUUUUUGUUGGAGACCAUUACGGUUGUUCAAGGUCUUUGCAACUUUCCCAGUGAACUUGUUGGUAGAUCAUAUGACACUCAAGCAAGUUCUGACAUAUUUACAUUUUCUGAGACGCAGAUGCUUCUUCAAGGCGAAGCAAUGGCCGGGAGCCUAGUGACCAUAUUAGCCUUCGAUUGCCUAGAUAGGAAUGGUGAUUUUUACCUGAUUGACCGCGGGUUUAUUUUUGAAUGCUUAAAAUUUAUUUCAACGGACAGCUCGACGCCACAAGCGUAUACUAUUGGACAAACAACACCUAGC